CCUUCGAUAGCUCAGUUGGUAGAGCGGUGGACUGUAGAGGCUAAAAGAUAUCCAUAGGUCGCUGGUUCAAAUCCGGCUCGAAGGA
rnacentral:tRNA from 1 species